ensembl:lncRNA
CACUUGAGCAGCUGGCAGCGAGCCACUUGGCCAACAUAAACAGCCCUAAUCCUUUUUCCAAGGAGCUUUCAACACUCAUCUCUCUGGCACAACGGCCACUGACUCACCCUCUCCCUCCUUCUCUCUCUCUCUAUCUCUCUCUCCCUCUCUGACAUUCCUGCCUGUUCCGAGGUCUGCAGGACCGUCACCAGGAGGCACUGUGGCCCUUGCUAUGCAAAGGCUGCUGGGUUCAUGCUGUUGGUCACCAUUCACUGCUAAGGCUGCUGAGCUCUGGAGCUGUUGGACAGCGGCCACGCGUUGAUCUCAUUUGGACGGGCUUUUGCCUGGGACGAGUCCAAACCCAAACAGCCGAGGGAAGGACCACAACAGGUUUCUCUGGAUCCUGAGAGGUGCUUUCGUCUUGAAGCUGACUGAAUUGCUCGACUGGGGGAAAAAAUAAAGAUGUGUGUCUCAGCUUCAAAUUGCACGCAUCACACCACAAAUAGCACUUUUUAAGCUUUUGUUCAUUUCCCACAAAGAUAGUUGUAUCCAUUAAUCCUCAUUGCCCUUUAGUGUAACACACACUGGCUGUACAAAGUAGUGACUCAACUUAUUCUGCGCUUAUUUGGACUUAUUAUUUAUUCAGGCUCAAGCCC